rnacentral:rRNA from 1 species
AGAGUUUGAUCCUGGCUCAGGACGAACGCUGGCGGCGUGCCUAAUACAUGCAAGUAGAACGCUGAAGACUUUAGCUUGCUAAAGUUGGAAGAGUUGCGAACGGGUGAGUAACGCGUAGGUAACCUGCCUACUAGCGGGGGAUAACUAUUGGAAACGAUAGCUAAUACCGCAUAACAGCAUUUAACCCAUGUUAGAUGCUUGAAAGGAGCAAUUGCUUCACUAGUAGAUGGACCUGCGUUGUAUUAGCUAGUUGGUGAGGUAACGGCUCACCAAGGCGACGAUACAUAGCCGACCUGAGAGGGUGAUCGGCCACACUGGGACUGAGACACGGCCCAGACUCCUACGGGAGGCAGCAGUAGGGAAUCUUCGGCAAUGGGGGCAACCCUGACCGAGCAACGCCGCGUGAGUGAAGAAGGUUUUCGGAUCGUAAAGCUCUGUUGUAAGAGAAGAACGUGUGUGAGAGUGGAAAGUUCACACAGUGACGGUAACUUACCAGAAAGGGACGGCUAACUACGUGCCAGCAGCCGCGGUAAUACGUAGGUCCCGAGCGUUGUCCGGAUUUAUUGGGCGUAAAGCGAGCGCAGGCGGUUUAAUAAGUCUGAAGUUAAAGGCAGUGGCUUAACCAUUGUUCGCUUUGGAAACUGUUAGACUUGAGUGCAGAAGGGGAGAGUGGAAUUCCAUGUGUAGCGGUGAAAUGCGUAGAUAUAUGGAGGAACACCGGUGGCGAAAGCGGCUCUCUGGUCUGUAACUGACGCUGAGGCUCGAAAGCGUGGGGAGCAAACAGGAUUAGAUACCCUGGUAGUCCACGCCGUAAACGAUGAGUGCUAGGUGUUAGGGCCCUUUCCGGGGCUUAGUGCCGCAGCUAACGCAUUAAGCACUCCGCGCUGGGGAGUCGGCCCGC